AAGCAUCUAGUUUUAUAAGCCGACAGGUGGGUGCUCUGAAGCAAGACCAUGAACAGUUGUCACAAACGGUCUGAAAGUACAUCUAAAACCAUCAGACUAAUCUUUGGUUGACUGUUGCCAGGAAGUAGCUAGGACAUAACUGUGGGGUAUGGGCUAAGGACAAGCCACAGGGUCCUUCCUGGUACUUGGGUGUAGCCUGGGUUCAGCUACGUCAAGUUUUUCUUAAGAUGGAAGCCCGUCCCAAGAUGGAGUAGGUUUGGCCUCUCACAGUCUGGAUACACAAGCGAUUCUUCUGUCACUGUGGAGUUACCGAUCCUGUUGCACCUUGUGCUUGAAUUCCUGGCCUAUAGAGCCUGUUAAUGAUUCCAGAUUGAUUAGAAAUAGCAUGAGUCCAGGAGGCGAGAAUGCGUUCCUCAGCAAAAAGAGUUCCUGGGAUGCCUGUUGGUUAUGUAGCAGGCUAUCCCAGUUACCCCUUUCCGCUGUCGUGCGCAUGUUCUAUGGGAAGCAUAGGCGAGCAUGCCGGUGUCUUUUCUCCGUGUCAGAAUUUAUUCAACAACCAUAACAAGCUAUUCAACAAGUGUCUACCACGGGCUGUGUGGGGCCGUCAUCAUAGGAGGCUGUACAGAGUUGGCCUGUGGAGUGCUUCCAGGCCAGAAGAGGAAAAACCCGAACCAGUCACACAGUCCAUCAGCAUGAAGAUUAACUUCUCGGAGAAAUCCAGAUGCUUCUUGUAGGGUGGGAAACUUGGUUCUAUAUUGCCCAAUGUCUCUUCUGUAUCACCUGCUGUUCCCUGGUGCCCAACGCUGCAUCUGGCCUGCGCUUUGAAAUCUAAAAAUAUGCCUUUCAUCCUUUCCUCCCUUCUACGGAUCUGCAGUGACUUCCCGAGUUGCCUGCUGAACUCAGGAUCAAAAAGCCCAUGCUGGAGAGUUACGCGCUCUCCUAACUUAGCUUCUCUUCCUUUCUGAGCACAGACGCCUGGGUAGUAUCCUCUCAUUCCCCGAGCUCUGCCUCUCCCUUCUGAGAUGGCUCAGUUCGCUGGGAGCCCCUGCUAGGAUCUUCGGUUUGUUGAAACGUUGAUUGAUGUGUAGUUGUCUCCCAAGAGCAUGGCAGAUUUGCUUUUGCUUCAGACCAGCAGGCUCUUCCACAACGAAAAACUAAACGGUUAACGCCCGGA